UGGGGGAUAUUGCACAAUGGGCGAAAGCCUGAUGCAGCGACGCCGCGUGGGGGAUGAAGGCUUUCGGGUUGUAAACCUCUUUCGCUAUCGAACAAGGCCCGCUUAGGGUGGGUUGAGGGUAGGUGGAGAAGAAGCGCCGGCUAACUACGUACCAGCAGCCGCGGUAAUACGUAGGGCGCGAGCGUUGUCCGGAAUUAUUGGGCGUAAAGGGCUUGUAGGCGGCUUGUUGCGCCUGCUGUGAAAACGCGGGGCUUAACUUCGCGCGUGCAGUGGGUACGGGCAGGCUUGAGUGUGGUAGGGGUGACUGGAAUUCCAGGUGUAGCGGUGGAAUGCGCAGAUAUCUGGAGGAACACCGAUGGCGAAGGCAGGUCACUGGGCCAUUACUGACGCUGAGGAGCGAAAGCAUGGGUAGCGAACAGG
rnacentral:rRNA from 1 species